GGUACAUACUGGGAAUGCCAGCUGUUGUCUUCAGGCCGCUGCCAAGCUGAGAAGGGGACAUGGGAUCAGGGGGCAGGUGCAGAAGGAACUGCUGUGUGGGGCUGGCUGGGGGCCCCCCUGUGCCCAGACCUCUCAGGUGUGUAGUUAGCCGUCAGAAAUGCCUGCCUCUCCCCAUCUAGAUGAUCAGAGGCAUCGACAAGUUCUGCUUAUUUACAAACACACAUUCGCACCCCACAGUGCAUGGGCUUCUGAAAAUGUACAGGUUGUGUAACUCUACAGGGACCAUGGCUGCCUCUGUCUUGCGGUGUCGUGUCAGCACUGGCCAGCUCCCGGCUGACUGUGGCAGAAAAAGGACUACGGGAACCCUCACACCUGCUUUUACGUGCCUUGGAUUGGAGGAGACCCACAUCGCUCCUGCCCACUCGCCAUUGGCUGGGACUGGUCACGUGCCCCACCCCUUCCGCUUAGGCUCAAUGGAGGCUGGGAGAUACAGCCUCGCCGUGGGCUCUGGCUGAGUGGUGGGCUGGUCAACGCGAGGCAUCGUCUCUCCCACACGGAUUUACGUGGCCGGAGCCUAGAAAGAAAAGCUCGAGUUCACCUAUUCCUGGGUUCUCACGUGUUGAGGUCACAAGAGAACCCAGUACCUGAGCCGUACUGGGUUCAGUACGGAGAAGCUGCACCGAAGGUUUCUGGAAUGACUUGAAGACCUCACCAAGGAUUGCAGGUGGGGAGCUCGACGUUUAACAGUUAUUACAUGCCUGAGAAUUCUCACCCAUGGACUGCCUUAUUCUGCACAAUGACCUGGAU